GAUGAACGCUGGCGGCGUGCCUAAUACAUGCAAGUCGAGCGAACAGACGAGGAGCUUGCUCCUCUGACGUUAGCGGCGGGCGGGUGAGUAACACGUGGAUAACCUACCUAUAAGACUGGGAUAACUUCGGGAAACCGGAGCUAAUACCGGAUAAUAUAUUUAACCGCAUGGUUCAAUAGUGAAAGACGGUUUUGCUGUCACUUAUAGAUGGAUCCGCGCCGCAUUAGCUAGUUGGUAAGGUAACGGCUUACCAAGGCAACGAUGCGUAGCCGACCUGAGAGGGUGAUCGGCCACACUGGAACUGAGACACGGUCCAGACUCCUACGGGAGGCAGCAGUAGGGAAUCUUCCGCAAUGGGCGAAAGCCUGACGGAGCAACGCCGCGUGAGUGAUGAAGGUCUUCGGAUCGUAAAACUCUGUUAUUAGGGAAGAACAAAUGUGUAAGUAACUAUGCACGUCUUGACGGUACCUAAUCAGAAAGCCACGGCUAACUACGUG
rnacentral:rRNA from 1 species